AUCUUUAAAGAGCGCCGAGCUUCCGGGCCUAAACCCAUGGCAUGGUUCUGAAGCCGUAGCAGAAAGAUGUGCGCGCUGCUACCAGGGUGCUGACAGAAAUGUCAGUGCCUCCCGUAUUUGGAAAGGUGUUUGAUGCUACGUUUG
rnacentral:ncRNA from 1 species